rnacentral:rRNA from 1 species
CGGUUGAUCCUGCCGGACCUGACUGCUAUCGGAUUGAUACUAAGCCAUGCGAGUCAUUGUAGCAAUACAAGGCAGACGGCUCAGUAACGCGUAGUCAACCUAACCUAUGGACGGGAAUAACCUCGGGAAACUGAGAAUAAUGCCCGAUAGAACACUAUGCCUGGAAUGGUUUGUGUUCCAAAUGAUUUAUCGCCGUAGGAUGGGACUGCGGCCUAUCAGUUUGUUGGUGAGGUAAUGGCCCACCAAGACUAUUACAGGUACGGGCUCUGAGAGGAGUAGCCCGGAGAUGGGUACUGAGACACGGACCCAGGCCCUAUGGGGCGCAGCAGGCGAGAAAACUUUGCAAUGUGCGAAAGCACGACAAGGUUAAUCCGAGUGGUUUGUGCUAAACAGACCUUUUGUUAGUCCUAGAAACACUAACGAAUAAGGGGUGGGCAAGUUCUGGUGUCAGCCGCCGCGGUAAAACCAGCACCUCAAGUGGUCAGGAUGAUUAUUGGGCCUAAAGCAUCCGUAGCCGGCUCUGUAAGUUUUCGGUUAAAUCUGUAUGCUCAACAUACAGGCUGCCGGGAAUACUGCAGAGCUAGGGAGUGGGAGAGGUAGACGGUACUCGGUAGGAAGGGGUAAAAUCCUUUGAUCUAUUGAUGACCACCUGUGGCGAAGGCGGUCUACCAGAACACGUCCGACGGUGAGGGAUGAAAGCUGGGGGAGCAAACCGGAUUAGAUACCCGGGUAGUCCCAGCUGUAAACUAUGCAAACUCAGUGAUGCAUUGGCUUGUGGCCAAUGCAGUGCUGCAGGGAAGCCGUUAAGUUUGCCGCCUGGGAAGUACGUACGCAAGUAUGAAACUUAAAGGAAUUGGCGGGGGAGCACCACAAGGGGUGAAGCCUGCGGUUCAAUUGGAUUCAACGCCGGAAAU